UUUUGUCUCACAGUUUUGUGAACUCAGAAUUCAGUGGAUUAUUUUGUGAGACAAAAAGUAGGUUCAUGCAACUAAUGUCAGUUGUACGAGACACAAAAUAAAACUUCUCCAAAUCAAACACACAUAUCUCUCUAAAACAAAACAGACAUUUUUCUUUCACAAUUCAACUGCACUCAAAUCAAACAAAGCUAGGGUUUUGCCUUUCUGCCCCAAUUGCUGAUUAUCGCCUUUACUGCAUCUUCCUUCUUCCUUUACGCUGGUUGUCCUACAUUUUGACCUCUAUUCUCUUUGCAACUUGUGCUUUUGUGCUUUCCAAAAUUUCAAAGGCCAAGCUCGACAAAUCGACAAGGUAUACGGUGGAAUAGUCAAAGCACGCAUAAGCUAGCCGAGAAAACACUGUUAUAAAUCAAAAUAUAAAGUCUAGCUAGGCUUGUUCGACGGGGAUGGAAGGAGUGUUCGGGCGAGUACAAAGUAAGAGGCAAGCUUUAAGAUGUUCUUUAGUGGUACAUAACUAUUGUUUUUAUCAAUCAGGUAAAGAGUAAUUAUGAAAAAUUUGUAAAGAAAAAGGAAAGAUGCAAAUAUAGCAUAAAGCACAUUCUGUUGAAGUGUUCCUUUUGAUAAUCUGCACAAAGAUGGCUUUUCAAUUAGAAAUAUGUAUGUGGAAGCAAAAGCACAAGUCAAAAAGACCAAACUUUUAGUUAUGUUUGCUUUUGACAUGUUGAAUUUAUUAACACUCUUAUCUUAGUCUAUUUGCCUAUAUUGCAUUCAGUCUACAUUGGAUUUGUUCACAAGUUGACUCUAAACAUAAAUAUAUGGACUUAUGUUCUUCAAUUGGCUCCAAACUAUGUUACUUAAUCUCUUUGAGUUGAAUGUAGAAUCCAUUCUAACAGGGUGUAAUCUAUGAAAAUUUCUAAUCAUUCAUUACUGGUUUGUCAAAUUGGUACACCUGCUCUAACUUUAGAGUGUCAAUUCCUGGGUUUUCGAAUGCUCGAGAGCCUCCUGGUUUAGGAUAUGGUGCUAAAAUUCUUAAAUUUAGUGUUAAGGUCAAUGCUUAAAA